ACUCAACUGACGAGUCCAAAAUAGGACGAAACGUGCGUUCUGGAU
rnacentral:hammerhead_ribozyme from 1 species